rnacentral:rRNA from 1 species
GACGAACGCUGGCGGCGUGCUUAACACAUGCAAGUCGAACGCUGAACCCGCUUCGGUGGGGGAUGAGUGGCGAACGGGUGAGUAACACGUGGGCAACCUGCCCCCGGCUCUGGGAUAACUCCAAGAAAUUGGGGCUAAUACCGGAUGUGACCGCUGGCCGCAUGGUCUGGUGGUGGAAAGGGUUUCCGGCUGGGGAUGGGCCCGCGGCCAAUCAGCUUGUUGGUGGGGUAGUGGCCUACCAAGGCGACGACGGGUAGCCGGCCUGAGAGGGUGACCGGCCACACUGGGACUGAGACACGGCCCAGACUCCUACGGGAGGCAGCAGUGGGGAAUAUUGCGCAAUGGGCGGAAGCCUGACGCAGCGACGCCGCGUGGGGGAUGACGGCCUUCGGGUUGUAAACCUCUUUCAGCAGGGACGAAGCGCAAGUGACGGUACCUGCAGAAGAAGCACCGGCCAACUACGUG